AUCUGAGACUGUUCUGGUUCUGCUAGUUUGAAGGUUCUGGUUCUGCUGUUUUUGAGUUUCUGGUUCUGCUGAUUUGGAGGUUCUGGUGUUUUUGAGGUUUUGCUGGUUUGGGGGUUCUGGUUCUGCUGGUUUCGAGGUUCUGCUGGUUUCGAGUUUCUUGUUCUGGUGUUUUUAAAGGUUCUGGUUCUGCUGGUUUGGAGUUUCUGGUUCUGGUGUUUUUAAAGGUUCUGGUUCUGCUGGUUUGGAGUUUCUGGUUCUGGUGUUUUUAAAGGUUCUGGUUCUGCUGGUUUGAAGGUUCUGGUCUUGCUGGUUUGGAGGUUCUGCUGGUUUGGAGGUUCUGCUGGUUUGGAGGUUCUGGUUCUGCUGGUUUGGAGGUUCUGGUUCUGCUGGUUUGGAGGUUCUGGUUCUGGUUCUGCUGGUUUGUGGAUCUCAGGUCUACAGGAAUGUUAACUCUGCAGAUGUUGGUGUUCCUCGUGAAUCUGAGUGACUCCUAAUAUGGAUUUGUUGAGUUCCUCUGAAUGCCUGAAAUGCUUGUGCUGAAGGUGGACGGUGUCACUCGGAUAUCCGGCAGGAGUGUGUGUGUGUGCACGUGUGUGUGUGUGUGUGUGUGUGUGUGUGUGUGUGUGUGUGUGUGUGUGUGCGCCUGUGCAUGUGUGUGUUUAAUGUGUGCAUGCGUGUGUGUGUUUAUGUUGACCUUCAAAAGUUUGGGGACACUAUAUACAGCUAAAAAAGAACACUUAAAAAUGAUGAGUUUCUUUGAUUUUACCAAAUUGAAAACCUCUGGAAUAUAAUCAAGAGGAAGAUGGAUGAUCACAAACCAUCAAACCACCAAACUGAACUGCUUGAAUUUUUGCACUAGGAGUAAAGCAGCAUAAAGUUAUCCAAAAGCAGUGUGUAAGACUGGUGGAGGAGAACAUGCCAGAAUGCAUAAAAACGGGUAAAAAUGAAGAGAGCACUUCAGUUUCUGAAUCAGUUUCUCUGAUUUUGCUAUUUAUAGGUUUAUGUUUGAGUAAAAUGAACAUUGUUGUUUUAUUCUAUAAACUACAGACAACAUUUCUCCCAAAUUCCUAAUAAAAAUAUUCUCAUUUAGAGCAUUUAUUUACAGAAAAUGAGAAAUGGCUGAAAUAACAAAAAAGAUGCAGAGCUUUCAGACCUCAAAUAAUGCAAAGAAAACAAAAAGUUCAUAUUCAUAAAGAUUUAAGAGUUCAGAAAUCAAUAUUUGGUGGAGUAACCCUGGUGGUUUUUAAUCAGUUUUUUUCAUGCAUCUUGGCAUCAUGUUCUUCUCCACCAGUCUUACACACUGCUUUUGAAAAAAA